rnacentral:rRNA from 1 species
CAGUAGCCGCGGGAAAACGGAGGGUGCAAGCGUUAUCCGGAUUUAUUGGGUUUAAAGGGUCCGUAGGCGGAUCUGUAAGUCAGUGGUGAAAUCUCACAGCUUAACUGUGAAACUGCCAUUGAUACUGCAGGUCUUGAGUAAAUUUGAAGUGGCUGGAAUAAGUAGUGUAGCGGUGAAAUGCAUAGAUAUUACUUAGAACACCAAUUGCGAAGGCAGGUCACUAAGAUUUAACUGACGCUGAUGGACGAAAGCGUGGGGAGCGAACAGGAUUAGAUACCCCAGUAGUCCCUGUCUCUUAUCA